GUUAGAUGGUAUAGAGAAGGCACUUUAGCACAAUGAUUGGUGUGCACUGCGAUGAUGACUCUUCUCCUGUCACCACAGCACUGCUAUUGCUGGCGGGGUACCAGUGGGUGCACAGUGCCCAACGGGAAUGAUGCGAAGUGUGAAAGCCAUGUAUUUACCUUGUGAUGUCGUGGGACAGAGGCUGGAGAGAUAUGGACCAUCUUGAAUACUGCACUCACACCGCAGAGGAAGCAGUGCUACAAGGGUACCAGCUACCCAUCCCUUCCACGCAGAGGACAGGGAGCAGGUAAGCCCCAGCAUGUGAGACCCAGGGAGCAAUGAGCUCUCUGUUUUAAGGCUGUGUCUAUAUACACAACUAGUCAGAGAACAGGUUAUAACACAAUGGUUAAAAUGUGUGUGUGUGUGUGUGUGUGUGUGUGUGUGUGUGUGUAUACGUGUGUGCUCUCAGACAGAUAGGUUAAGGCAGUGAGGACUGAGGCUGGGAGCUAAAACUAUGUUCAUCUUUAUGCUGACCGAUCUCUCCCGCUGGGCCAAGACUGUGGAGCCCAACUGCAGACAGGUUCUUAGGUAGGCUCACAGGCUGGGGUCUCCAGGAUGGGAUGUGGAGUGCAUGGUUUUCUUGGGAACUUGCAACUGUGGAAGGAGGGGUGAGGUCUGAGGAG
rnacentral:lncRNA from 1 species